CCACAUGGAACUGAAGUACAAGAAGAAGAAACAGGAGGGAAGGGAAUAGAGUUUGAAAAGAGGUCCACUGCCCUCCAGGUGGCAGUGAAGCCUGAGUCAACCACUUUGUCGUUGGAGGAGAAGCUGAUGUGAAGCGUAUUCCCAUCACUCACCAUGUCUGCAGGAGGCACGUGACUGCAGUAGGUACCUGAGGGCGACCCUGCAAGAGCCUGAAUGAGUAAAAUCUCCUAGGCAGUGGAGCCCAUCUAUAAAACUAUUUUCAGCUAUCGGUUUGGCAGGGCCCUGCGCCACCUGGGGCUCAUCGGCAAUUGAAGAAUGGAAAUCAGGUACAUCGAUGUUCCACAUGCACUCGGUGUUGGGCUUGUAAUUCAUGGGCCAGUCCUGGGACUUGAUAACUCCGGUUUCCUCCUUUGAAGAAAAGCCACAACCCAGGAUUUCUGAAACAGGCAGGGGAAAUGAAGAAAACUGAAUGAGAGCCAUAAGGGUACACAGCCUCCCACUUGGCAGAGAAUCCGCGGUCUGUGAGGCGACUGUCAGACUGGAAGGUCACAGAUAUCGUGUCACUGGCGCUGACCACCACUGGGGGAAGGAUGUAGCCACAGUGUGUACCUGGAUCAGCGAGAGGAAGGACAGAGGAAAAAGGGAAGGUGCUCAGCUUGUGACUGUGCAGGCCAUUUGAGUCAAGCGAAACACGUGCAAGACACCAAUCCAAGAUGGUAUGCGCUUUGUGACAUGCCGCGUUAUUGGGAGAUCCAUAUACGGUGGUCAUACAGAGGCAUGGUCAAUGAGGGACGACGUGUACCAAGAGUAUAUUACCACCAGCCUGAACUCAUGAUGUAAUUCAGGAUGAAAAUCUGACACCACCAGCUGAAUAUCACAGCAGAAAUGAACUAAUCAGGCCUGGCAACGUUUUUCUUACCUUCCACUGUCUUAUGCUUCUGUAGUCCACUGAUGAGCUUUCAGAGAGCCUGUUGUCUUUUUAUCACCUCAAACCUGUCUACUUGUUCUUCUCUGACCUUUGCAAUCAACAAGACAUCUGUUUGAGAUCAUUCUCUAACAACCCUACUGAUGGCUGUGAAUGAAAAUCCAAGGACCGCAUGAUGUGCCGCUAACAUGAUGCAUGGUGUGGAGGACAUUGUGUUAAUUACUCUGCAACUCCGUAGAUACAUAUUGUGAGCAUGAUGACUUCUGAACAAUUCACAUUAGACACUUUAUCCUUAAACCAAAGGUACUUCAUGUGGACUACAUGAGCUGAUCAGAAUUUGGAGCACUUUACAGUGGGGAAAAUAAUUAUUUGAUCCCCUGCUGAAUUUGUGAUUUUACUCACUUAUAAACAAAUGAAAGGUCUCUACUUUUGAUUGUAGUUUCCUUUUUAUGGAGGAAGACAGAAUAAGCAAAAGUUAUUAAUUGAUUUGCGUGUCACUGUCACAGCAUGACUCACUCUUGGUUGAAUAAUCCUUGUUGGCAAGCACAGCGGUAAGGCAUUUAUUGUAAUCUUUCACCAGGUUUGCAAACAUCUCUGUUCUAAAUCCUUUAGCUUUCUUGACUGCCACUUGUUAACACAAGAAUUUCUAUAGGACUGAGCUCUGGCUAGACCACUCCAUGUCCUUAAUGUGCUUCUUCUUUAGCCACUCCUUUGUUGCCUUGGUGAUAUGAUUUGGGUCAUUAUCAUGCUGGA